CUGGGUCCCUUGCACUGUGAGACAGCACUGAGCCACCAGGCCACCCCAGGGAUCUUUGAUUAUUUGAAUGUUGAAUUUGUCAACUGACCUCUAAUGUUAUGUAUUAAAAAUUAACUAAAUUCCAUCAAGAAUCUCAUGCAUUUCACUGUUUCUGUCAUUGAAAGAAAGAUUUUUGUUAAUUCAACUACUUUUAAAACCAGUAGACAUCCUAAAACACUUUGCAGCAAUUGAAGCACUUCUGAAGUGCAGUCACUGUGUUCAUGUGUGGAAAUGCAGCAUCCAUUACACAGCAAACUCCCACAAAUAGCAAUAUGAUAUCGGCCCAAUAAUUUGAUUUUCUGAUGAUGUUGCUUGAGAGACAAAUAUUGGUCAGGACACUAGGGCGAACACAGAAGCAGAAUGCUGCAGAUACGAGAAAUCUGAAGUAAAAAUAGAAAAUGCUGAAACAUGCAGCAAGUCAAAGCAGCAUUUGUUGAGAGAGGAACAGAGUUAACAUUUCAGAUCGAUGACCUUUCUUGAACGCGAGUAUUGUUAAGUAUAUUUACAGGUGCUACCACAACAGGAACUCAAUCAGAGAGUUUUUGCAAAGAUUCAGUAGACAGUCACUAGUCGUGACAUUCACUAGGUGGUUCCUGAGGUGUCAGUGCUCAAAUGGAUAUGACACUUGUACAAUGCUGUCCUUAACAUGAGUUGCUACUUUUAUUGUUAAAAGUGAGAGAACCCACUUUCUGCUGUAAUAAUA